UACGAAGGGGGCUAGCGUUGUUCGGAAUUACUGGGCGUAAAGCGCACGUAGGCGGGUUGUUAAGUCAGGGGUGAAAUCCCGGAGCUCAACUCCGGAACUGCCUUUGAUACUGGCAAUCUAGAGACUGGAAGAGGUUAGUGGAAUUCCCAGUGUAGAGGUGAAAUUCGUAGAUAUUGGGAAGAACACCAGUGGCGAAGGCGGCUAACUGGUCCAGUACUGACGCUGAGGUGCGAAAGCGUGGGGAGCAGACAGG
rnacentral:rRNA from 1 species